UACGUAGGGUGCGAGCGUUAAUCGGAAUUACUGGGCGUAAAGCGUGCGCAGGCGGUUCGUUGUGUCGGUGGUGAAAGCCCCGGGCUUAACCUGGGAAUGGCCAUGGAAACUGGCGAACUGGAGUGUGGCAGAGGGGGGUGGAAUUCCGCGUGUAGCAGUGAAAUGCGUAGAUAUCAGGAGGAACACCGGUGGUGUAGACGGCUUACUGGACCAUAACUGACGCUGAGACACGAAAGCGUGGGUAGCAAACAGG
rnacentral:rRNA from 1 species